rnacentral:RNase_MRP_RNA from 1 species
GGAGCUCACAACGAAGUGAAUGGGUUCUUCAUUGGACCCAGGAAAGUUCCCGGGCCCAUUUCCGCAGAGAUGCGGGCUCGGAAACGAGUAAACUUCGUGCACAGGAAAUCCCCCACUUUGCCUUUGGGCGAGUGGGGGCUGAGACACGUGUGGAGCCUUGUUGGAUUUCCUGCCGAAGUAACCUUGGCCGAAAUAACACAGUUAUUCACUUGGUCCUGUUGUUCUAACAGAACGGGGAUUACGAUUGUGGGCUC